rnacentral:rRNA from 1 species
AUUGAACGCUGGCGGCAGGCCUAACACAUGCAAGUCGAACGAGUGGCGGACGGGUGAGUAAUGUCUGGGAAACUGCCUGAUGGAGGGGGAUAACUACUGGAAACGGUAGCUAAUACCGCAUACCAUCAGAUGUGCCCAGAUGGGAUUAGCUUGUUGGUGGGGUAACGGCUCACCAAGGCGACGAUCCCUAGCUGGUCUGAGAGGAUGACCGGCCACACUGGGACUGAGACACGGUCCAGACUCCUACGGGAGGCAGCAGUAGGGAAUAUUGCACAAUGUACGCAAGCCUGAUCCAGCCACGCCGCGUGAAUGAAGAAGGUCUUCGGGUUGUAAAGUACUGUCGGCAGGGAGGCGUUACCCGAAGAAGAAGCACCGGCUAACUACGUGCCAGCAGCCGCGGUAAUUC